GCGCGAAAACUUUACAAUGCGGGAAACCGUGAUAAGGGNACUCCGAGUGUCCGUAAAUGCGGACUGUCCGUAUGUUUAAAAAGCAUGCGAAGAAAGGGCCGGGCAAGACCGGUGCCAGCCGCCGCGGUAAUACCGGCGGCUCGAGUGGUGGCCACUAUUACUGGGCUUAAAGCGUUCGUAGCUGGGUUGUUAAGUCUCUUGGGAAAUCUACCGGCUUAACCGAUAGGCGUCCAAGGGAUACUGGCAAUCUAGGGACCGGGAGAGGUGAGGGGUACUUCAGGGGUAGGA
rnacentral:rRNA from 1 species